CUGCUUUCCAGGCAGACAUUAUAAUCUACAGGUAAUGAUAAUGUUCUCUCUUCCUUUUAAUAUUUAUACUUCAUUUCUUUUUAUUGUCUUUUUACACUGGCUAGAUCUUAGAGUAAAAUGGUAAAUAACUGCAGUGGUGGUGGGCACCUUUGUCUUUUUCCUGCUGUUACGUGCUUCUAGCAUUUUGACCUUAAAUUAUCUUUAAUAGUCUAUGGAACUUUUCGCUGCAUUAUUAUUUUACUAAGUGCUUUUAGAAAGAAUGCAUAUUGACUUUUUCAAAUGUCUUUCUGGUACCCGUUGAGGAAAUCAAAUGGUUUUCUUCCC
rnacentral:lncRNA from 1 species